rnacentral:rRNA from 1 species
UCCUACGGGGCGCAGCAGUAGGGAAUCUUCCACAAUGGACGAAAGUCUGAUGGAGCAACGCCGCGUGAGUGAAGAAGGGUUUCGGCUCGUAAAGCUCUGUUGGUAGUGAAGAAAGAUAGAGGUAGUAACUGGCCUUUAUUUUACGGUAAUUACUUAGAAAGUCACGGCUAACUACGUGCCAGCAGCCGCGGGAAUACGUAGGUGGCAAGCGUUGUCCGGGUUUAUUGGGCGUAAAGCGAGUGCAGACGGGUCAAUAAGGCU